CCUACGGGGGGCUGCAGUGGGGGAUAUUGCACAAUGGGGGAAACCCUGAUGCAGCGACGCCGCGUGAGGGAAGACGGUUUUCGGAUUGUAAACCUCUGUCUUCAGGGACGAAAUCAAUGACGGUACCUGAGGAGGAAGCCACGGCUAACUACGUGCCAGCAGCCGCGGUAAUACGUAGGUGGCAAGCGUUGUCCGGAAUUACUGGGUGUAAAGGGAGCGUAGGCGGGAAUGCAAGUUGAAUGUUUAAACUAUCGGCUCAACUGAUAAUCGCGUUCAAAACUGCAUUUCUUGAGUGGAGUAGAGGCAGGCGGAAUUCCUAGUGUAGCGGUGAAAUGCGUAGAUAUUAGGAGGAACACCAGUGGCGAAGGCGGCCUGCUGGGCUCUAACUGACGCUGAGGCUCGAAAGCGUGGGUAGCAAACAGGAUUAGAUACCCUAGUAGUC
rnacentral:rRNA from 1 species